CUGGACUUUUCUGCUGCAUUUGUCAUGGAACUGCUCAUGUACAUUGUUCAUACCUCUAAGAAGCUAACAGAAGAGACCCAGUGUGAGCAGAAGGAGAUGAGGAUCUGAUUGCUGCCCUAUGCCAACCAGGGGGAAGAAUUCAUUUGCUGAUUCCGCUGAUUCCCAUUUAAUAUUGGGCUCAUUAAAUGAUUUUCAGGCACGUUAUUUUAGGCCCUUUAUUGAACAUGAAGAAGGAAAAAAUGAAAAGGACAUUGGAGCUUGUAUCCUGAGGAAUCAUAAGUGCUAUCUCAAUGGGGCUUGCCCUUUGAUAAUUUUCCUUCUAUUCUGCAGCACGGCUUCCCACUUGGCUCUAAGAACUUACUUAGCUUUAAGAACAGCACAUCUAAAACAUACUUUCCGUUUUAGAAAAUUCCUCUUGAGUAUGCACUAUAAGGAGAAAUCCCAAUUGUAACCCAAAAUACAAUGAAAUGGGAAAAAAGAAAAAAAAAAACUAAAUAAAUGAAAGAAGUCCAACUGUAUUCUCCCUUUCUAGCCAACACACUUUUCUCCCGCAGUCCCCACUAGGGACAUUUUCUCAACUUUCUCAUAGUUUGCAUACAGAUUUAGCUUUGUCUGAGGAAACCAAAUUUGUCUUAGGCUAGAAUAUCCUUUGUAAAAAUCCCCUGCCUACUUAUUGAAGCCAGCUCCUGCUCCUUUCUCACACUCCCUCCUUCCAAGUUCACUAUUGUGAUAGCAAUCAUAUUCUCCAAACUUUAGUAAUUAACACUUAGGCAUAUAGGAAAAUUUAUUCUUAGUUUCUCUCACCCCAAAAUGAAAUUGCUUUUUCUUUAAGAUCUCAAGAGAAUACUAGGUAGUGUGGCUGUCUUCUUCAAUCUCCAAAUCUUAUUCCUGAAGAAUUCCACUGGCAGACCAACCAGUUAGUAUUACGCUGAGGAUAGAUUCCUCUCCCUAAAAGCUCUUGAAUGAC
rnacentral:lncRNA from 1 species